rnacentral:tRNA from 1 species
ACCUGGGUGGCUCAGUUGGUGAAGCUUCUGACUUCAGCUCAGGUCAUGAUCUCAUGCUUCGUGGGUUUGAGCCCUGCCUCUGGCU